CCUUUAACAGGGAGUUAUUUUUGAUCUCACAGGAGCAGCAGUGUCUGGUUUCAGAGUUUGCCAUUCUGCACUCCUUAUGUAAGAUUGGAAACAUCAGCACCAAGGCAGUCCAGUGGAAAGCUCUGUUUUGCCUCAGUUUGUUUCAGUCAGCGAGACCUAAGUUCAUAUCUCCUCCCACAGUCUCAGGUGACCUCAGGAGACUGCUCAGGGGGAAUCCAGGGACGAGAAAUUCAAUGGUUGCAGUUUUAUAGUCUUUAUCAGACCAUGAAGGCUGUAAUCAAAAGAUAAGAGCUAUCAUCUGUCACCUCAAUCAAGUUUCAAGAGAAAAUCAUUGCAAGAGAGCCUCUGGUCAGUGGGUGCACAAUAACAUGUUACAAGAUCCCUGGAGCUCAGCAGGAGGUGCUGAAUUUUGUUGUGGAGCUACACCAGGGAGCUUCUGCUACUUCUUCCAACCUGCUGAACUAUGUUCAAUCCAGAUGAGAAACAGAAGAACAUGGAGGUUUUGCAAUUUGAGCUGGGCCACGCAGGAGCUCUUUGGCAGAGGAAGGCAGCCUCCUGAGAGAGCUGUACAACAGCCACACCGGGAGAGAACCCUGCACAGGACACAACAGCUUCUAAAAUGUGAUCAGGGACUACCAGAAAACACCACAACAAACACCCCAAAACACAGGAAGGAGCCUGCCAGCUGCAGGAAGACAGCGAGGAUCAACAGAGCAACAUCCCAGGUAACUGUUAAGCUAAUGGGGAGCAUAGGGCAUUACUGA
rnacentral:lncRNA from 13 species